rnacentral:rRNA from 1 species
CCUACGGGUGACAGCAGUGAGGAAUAUUGGUCAAUGGACGCAAGUCUGAACCAGCCAUGCCGCGUGCAGGAAGACGGCUCUAUGAGUUGUAAACUGCUUUUGUACGAGGGUAAACGCAGAUACGCGUAUCUGUCUGAAAGUAUCGUACGAAUAAGGAUCGGCUAACUCCGUGCCAGCAGCCGCGGUAAUACGGAGGAUUCAAGCGUUAUCCGGAUUUAUUGGGUUUAAAGGGUGCGUAGGCGGUCGGAUAAGUUAGAGGUGAAAUCCCGAGGCUCAACUUCGGAAUUGCCUCUGAUACUGUUCGGCUAGAGAGUAGUUGCGGUAGGCGGAAUGUAUGGUGUAGCGGUGAAAUGCUUAGAGAUCAUACAGAACACCGAUUGCGAAGGCAGCUUACUAAGCUACUUCUGACGUUGAGGCACGAAAGCGUGGGGAGCAAACAGGAUUAGAUACCCCUGUAGUC